UCAUUCGAGUGAUAAACAUUAAAAAGCCCUAAAAAAAGUACAAGAACUUUGAAAAAGCUUAGAAAAACCGCUUUGCAGCUCAAGAUUCUUCGGAUUUUAUUUUAGACCUUCGUACUCCUAAAAACCUAUAAGCAAGAUGUGCGGACCCUGCGGUGGUUGUUGCGGCGGAUGCUGCGGCCCAUGCUGCCCCUGCAUCACGAUCUACACUUGCUGCACUAAGAUUUGCUAGUGUACAGUGCGGAUGCCGGCGCUCGCCAGUCGCUACGGCGAACCAUGGCGUCUGCAGCGGAGUGGUCGAGUGUAGCGGUCCAUAGGAUUUCCAUGUUUGUUCUUAGUGCAAUAGUGCCGUCAUGUGCAAAUAAACUACUAUAAGCGUA